AAAUCCAAUAUCCUCCAAGGGCAAAGGGCCUUUGAAAUUGAAAUCAUUUUCCAUUUAGAAAAACGGACCAAGUGACAGUACCAGUCCUCUCCCUCCCUCCAGCCAGUGGGGAUGUCGCUGCCUGGCAGCGUGCCAGGGGCAUCCUGGAUGCUCAGUGCGUGUGGCUGAGGAUGUCUCUGCCACCUGAUGCUGACAUUUUGUGCCAUUCGCUCUAUUCCAGAAACAGGGGCUGUGUGCUGGAGGAAGGCUUCCCUCCGCUAUGUGCGGCUGCCAAGGCUGGUGCACGUGCUAGUUUGUUUGCUCGUUGGUUCCCCUGUCUUUUGCAGCCCAGCCCCAUCCCAUGACAGCCCGCAGCUGGAUCCCGGGGCAUGCUCAAGGUGUCUGCCAAGGCCGCUUAUCCCCAAACCCAAACAGACUUCCCUCCCGCUCUUUUCCCUCUGCUCCUGUUCAUCUUCUGCCUCUCCGCCUUCCCUCCAUCCGUCCUUCUCCCUGCCCUCUUCCCAGCCUCCCUGCCUCCCCCACCUUCCCCUCGCCCUCUCCCUCCCCCUUCUGUCCCCGAGACCCCAAGACCCCACGGCUCUCUCCCUCUGUUCUUCUGUCUUCCACGCUCCCUUUUCAUCCCCGGAUUAUUUCAGUGUCCCUCUCCCUUGCUUCCCUGUUUUCCCCAAUGACCUCUUCUUUCCCCUCUCAUUUAUGCCUCAUCCCCUCUCCUCCUGCACCUCUUCCUUUCCUUCCUCCUCUCCAUCACCUCUUUGCACUUCCCUCCCCUCUCCUGUCCCCCAGUGUCCUCCCCCUCUGUCUCCUAAUCUCUGGGCUCUGACUCCCCACCCUCUCUCCCUCUCUCUCUCUGUCUCUCACCCUCCCUGUGUCUCUCCUCUCUGGCUCCCUCCUGGGGAGUUCCAGAAACAUACCCAUAUAUGGCCUCCAUGUCAAGGAUCACAAAUGACGACGUCACGUGAGGGCCAGUGCUCGGAGAUGCUCUCUGCCGCGAGGGCUUUCUAA
rnacentral:lncRNA from 1 species